rnacentral:rRNA from 1 species
UAUUGGUCAAUGGUCGGGAGACUGAACCAGCCAAUCCGCGUGAGGGAUGAGGGUACAGAGUAUCGUAAACCUCUUUUGUCAGGGAACGAAGGCGGGGAGGCGUCCCCGGAUGAGUGUACCUGAAGAAAAAGCAUCGGCUAACUCCGUGCCAGCAGCCGCGGUAAUACGCAGGAUGCGAGCGUUAUCCGGAUUUGUAGGGUUUAAAGGGUGCGCAGGCGGUCUGUUAAGUCAGCGGUCAAAGCCCGGGGCUCAACCCCGGUCCGCCGUUGAAACUGGCAGUCUCGAGUUGGAGAGAAGUAUGCGGAAUGCGCGGUGUAGCGGUGAAAUGCAUAGAUAUCGCGCAGAACUCCGAUUGCGAAGGCAGCAUGCCGGCUCCACACUGACGCUGAGGCACGAAAGCGUGGGUAUCG